AUGCCAUCUCAUGCUGUUUUAGGACUAGAAAAGUCAAAGUACUCUGGCUAAUGCUGUCCUCACCAUAGUUUUCAUCCAUGCAGUGGUAACUCUGAAGUUAAGAUGUCUUAUGUGAGUUCAUUUUUGUUAUCAUCGCAUUCUAAUAUUGAAGUGGAAGCUAUGCAUGCUAUUGUCUCUUCAGAUGGAAAUCAGAAUUCAAUUGUUUCAGUCCACUUACUUUUAUAUUUAUUUUGCUUGUCUUUUUCCUGUUUUCAGUUUUUCGAUCCACUAUUAAUAG
rnacentral:misc_RNA from 1 species